AUUGAACGCUGGCGGCAGGCCUAACACAUGCAAGUCGAGCGAGCGGCGGACGGGUGAGUAAUGUCUGGGAAACUGCCUGCUGGAGGGGGAUAACUCCUGGAAACGGUAGCUAAUACCGCAUACCAUCAGAUGUGCCCAGAUGGGCUUAGCUGGUGGGUGGGGGAAUGGCUCACCCAGGCGACGAUCCCUAGCUGGUCUGAGAGGAUGACCAGCCACACUGGAACUGAGACACGGUCCAGACUCCUACGGGAGGCAGCAGUGGGGAAUAUUGCACAAUGGGCGCAAGCCUGAUGCAGCAAUGCGGGGUGUGUGAAGAAGGCCUUCGGGUUGUAAAGUACUUUCAGCGGGGAGGCGUUACCCGCAGAAGAAGCACCGGCUAACUCCGUGCCAGCAGCCGCGGUAAUUC
rnacentral:rRNA from 1 species